GACGAACGCUGGCGGCGUGCUUAACACAUGCAAGUCGAACGGAAAGGCCCUGCUUUUGUGGGGUGCUCGAGUGGCGAACGGGUGAGUAACACGUGAGUAACCUGCCCUUGACUUUGGGAUAACUUCAGGAAACUGGGGCUAAUACCGGAUAGGAGCUCCUGCUGCAUGGUGGGGGUUGGAAAGUUGCGGCGGUUGGGGAUGGACUCGCGGCUUAUCAGCUUGUUGGUGGGGUAGUGGCUUACCAAGGCUUGGACGGGUAGCCGGCCUGAGAGGGUGACCGGCCACAUUGGGACUGAGAUACGGCCCGGCCUCCUGCGGGGGUCCGACGUGGCGCCUCUUGCCCCCUGGGCGGCCGCUUGCUGCCGCCCCGCCGCGUGCGGGAUGACGGCCUUCGGGUUGUACCCCGCUUUCGCCUGUGCCGCCGCGUGCGUGCCGGUCCUGGUUCCCGCCGCCCCGGCUCCCUCCGUG
rnacentral:rRNA from 1 species